rnacentral:rRNA from 1 species
GACGAACGCUGGCGGCGUGCUUAACACAUGCAAGUCGAACGGUGAAGCACCUUCCUUUUGGUGGGUGUGGAUGAGUGGCGAACGGGUGAGUAACACGUGAGUAACCUGCCCCCUUCUUCUGGAUAACCGCAUGAAAGUGUGGCUAAUACGGGAUAUUCUGUGCCUGCUGCAUGGUGGGUGUGGGAAAGAUGCGCUUUUAGGUGUUUUUGGUGGGGGAUGGGCUCGCGGCCUAUCAGCUUGUUGGUGGGGUGAUGGCCUACCAAGGCGGUGACGGGUAGCCGGGCUGAGAGGGUGGACGGUCACACUGGGACUGAGACACGGCCCAGACUCCUACGGGAGGCAGCAGUGGGGAAUAUUGCACAAUGGGCGCAAGCCUGAUGCAGCGACGCCGCGUGAGGGAUGGAGGCCUUCGGGUUGUAAACCUCUUUCGCCAGUGAAGCAGGCCUGUCCCUUGUGGGUGGGUUGACGGUAGCUGGAUAAGAAGCGCCGGCUAACUACGUG